rnacentral:lncRNA from 1 species
CCUCUCAUCAACAUUCCGAGCCUAAGCUUCUCAUCUCCCUUCUAUCUAUCCUUGUAUUUUCAAUUCCAGUACUUAGAUUCUGCAGUAGCUAUUGUCAUUUAAGUUGAGUUGUAUUUUUUAUUUCACUGUUCAAAGUAAUAGAAAAGGCAUUUGGGAGUGAGUCCCUUUGUUACACACCCUCCCUGAGUUUUCUGAGCUUCAGUGCACCUUAAAUGAGUCUUUGACAACACAGGAAGUUACAGCAAGAAUAUCUUGCCAACUCUUUCACCUGAUGCAAGUAAUACUUUUUAACAUUGUGUCUUGAUGAUUAAGCAUGGAUGAGACCGGGCCGUUUUUCACCGUUUCUUGCUUUGCAAAUUGAUAGAAUCCCUUAACGGGCUUUAGCAAGGGGUCUUAAGACAAUGGCAUGCAUCGCUAUAGCCUAUAUGACUAGUUUCUUUUAUGACGAAGAAUGACUAAGGAGACUUGUGAGUAGCUGCAAAUGAUGUUUGUGCAAGAGUCUAUGCAGUGUUUCGUACGGUCCCAGUUCAAAAUUAAAGAUUUAGGUCACUUGCCCUAUUUGAUCAUCAGAGGAAGUUUGCCUUGGAAUUUGUGUAUUUGUAACUUUCCCUGUUGUAAGUCCUUAAGAACCACAUUCCAAUCAUGGAUUAGAGCAUCAAACUUUUAGCACAUUCCAAUCAUGGAUCAGAGCAUCAAUCUUUGAAGUAGGUUGAUGCUUAGUGGUAGUGCAUACAACAUCUCUAAGAGAAAAGUAUUGAAAACACCCCUAAAUUCGACGCACAUUAUUAGUUUCAUCCUCGA